rnacentral:misc_RNA from 1 species
GAUGAAGGAACGUAGCGAAAUGCGAUAAGUAAUGCGAAUUGCAGAAUUUCCGUGAGUCAUCGAAUCUUUGAACGCACAUUGCGCCCACUGGUAUUCCGGUGGGCAUGCCUGCUCGAGCGUCAUUAUCCUCCCUCAAACCCCGGGUUUGGUGUUGGACCGAAGUUGUGUGAACAACUGGUCUAAAAAACAAUGACGGCGUCCGUGGGACCCUCGGUGCAACGAGCUUUUAGGAGCACGCGCCGAGUUGCAAGGACCUUCCGGGCCGGUCUCCUUUUACUAUUUUACAAGGUUGACCUCGGAUCAGGUAGGAAUACCCGCUGAACUUAAGCAUAUCAAUAAGCGGAGGA